rnacentral:rRNA from 1 species
CUAAGGCAGGAUUCUUGAUUGGGGUGAAGUCGUAACAAGGUAGCCGUACCGGAAGGUGCGGCUGGAUCACCUCCUUU